GGCAAAGGAAAUCUCCUUGGUUCUGAAUGUUAAGAAGUCUCUGCUACAGAGAAUAGCAAGGUGUACUGGUGCUUCUGUAACUCCAUCAAUUGAUAAAUUGUUUACUACACGUUUGGGACAGUGUGAACUCUUCCGCAUAGAAAAAGUAUCUGAAGACCUCUAACAAGCUAAAACAUCCCCAAAAGAAGCCAUCUAAAACCUUAAUGUUCUUCGAAGGUUGUCCAAGGCGUUUUGGUUGCACGGUACUGCUGAAGGGUUCUUGUCGUGAAGAACUAAGGAAAGUUAAGCAUGUUGUUCAGUGUGCAGUUUUUGCAGCAUAUCAUUUGUCCUUGGAAACUUCUUUCCUCGAAGAUGAGGUUGCUAGCUUACCUAAACCAACUUCAGAGAUCUUCAUUUUCAAUACUUGAAAGGGUGAUAGUCAUCAGAGCAUACUGGAUCUUUUUCAAGUCGCCAUGUCCUUGAUGGAACAAUCUAAUGUUCUCGAUUCUUGCACAUUAAGUCCUAUGGUUCUUUUGACAAGCCACUUGGAAGGUAUCUUCAAGAAGAUCUGUUUGAUCAGACAUCCUGAUGUAAAUCAUGCAAAGAGCCGGCUGAUGGCCACAUAGUUUGCUAUACUCACCAGCAGGCACGGUUAGACUGCCCGGAGAAUGAGAUGGAAAAAUUUGGAUGUGGCACCGAUGCCUCAGAUUUACACAUGUAGAUGGGUUCCUCAGCAAUUUAGCAAAGAUAGUUCAGAACUAGUCCCAGUGACAAUGGAUGUGUUUUUUUAUCUUAACUGAGACAAUCACUCCUGAUUGUUUCACAUGAUUGAGAGCACCGGCUUAGUUCAUUAGAUUCUCUCGUUAGCUCCAACGCAGUGUUACAAGAUUUGAGAAGUGUUUCGUCUAAUAUGAUCAGUCUUUCCUACGACCGUGAUAAUGAUAGUGUCUCUGAUCUGGUUUUGAAAUUGCCAGAUUUCCUCCAGAAAGAUAUACCAUACACACAAGACAGAGAGCCCGAAACAUCACUAGUUGAUUCUGGUAUUCCUAAAGUUUACAUGGAUGGGGAACCUACAGUCCAGAAGACACCCUUGGAUCAUGCUCCCUCAGCUGCAUCUGAAUUGUCUGAUAAAAUUGAUUCUGUAUGGAAUGGUACAACAGACAGUCCGUCGAAAUUGCCUUCAAGGAGAUUGCUAUCACCAGCAAGACUUCAAUCAAUUGAUUCUGCUACAAGUAUCCAACAAAAGCCCUUAUCAAUUCAUUUAUUACCAAUUAGAUCUUCUCACGCCUCUGGGGACUAUGCAAACAUGUCUAGAGAUCCCUUGGCUAAUGUACAGAGGACUUAUUCUCCAAUGUCAUGUCACUCUUGUUCCAAUCUAAUUCACAUCAAUAACA